AGUGAACGCUGGCGGUAGGCCUAACACAUGCAAGUCGAACGGCAGCACAGUAAGAGCUUGCUCUUACGGGUGGCGAGUGGCGGACGGAUGAGGAAUACAUCGGAAUCUACUUUUUCGUGGGGGAUAACGUAGGGAAACUUACGCUAAUACCGCAUACGACCUACGGGUGAAAGCAGGGGAUCUUCGGACCUUGCGCGAUUGAAUGAGCCGAUGUCGGAUUAGCUAGUUGGCGGGGUAAAGGCCCACCAAGGCGACGAUCCGUAGCUGGUCUGAGAGGAUGAUCAGCCACACUGGAACUGAGACACGGUCCAGACUCCUACGGGAGGCAGCAGUGGGGAAUAUUGGACAAUGGGCGCAAGCCUGAUCCAGCCAUACCGCGUGGGUGAAGAAGGCCUUCGGGUUGUAAAGCCCUUUUGUUGGGAAAGAAAAGCAGCAGGUUAAUACCCCGCUGUUCCGACGGUACCCAAAGAAUAAGCACCGGCUAACUUCGUG
rnacentral:rRNA from 1 species